AUUGAACGCUGGCGGCAGGCCUAACACAUGCAAGUCGAGCGGAUGAAGGGAGCUUGCUCCUGGAUUCAGCGGCGGACGGGUGAGUAAUGCCUAGGAAUCUGCCUGGUAGUGGGGGAUAACGUCCGGAAACGGGCGCUAAUACCGCAUACGUCCUGAGGGAGAAAGUGGGGGAUCUUCGGACCUCACGCUAUCAGAUGAGCCUAGGUCGGAUUAGCUAGUUGGUGGGGUAAAGGCCUACCAAGGCGACGAUCCGUAACUGGUCUGAGAGGAUGAUCAGUCACACUGGAACUGGGACACGGUCCAGACUCCUACGGGAGGCAGCAGUGGGGAAUAUUGGACAAUGGGCGAAAGCCUGAUCCAGCCAUGCCGCGUGUGUGAAGAAGGUCUUCGGAUUGUAAAGCACUUUAAGUUGGGGGGAAGGGCAGUAAGUUAAUACCUUGCUGUUUUGACGUUACCAACAGAAUAAGCACCGGCUAACUUCGUG
rnacentral:rRNA from 1 species